GGGGCUCCCAGCUUCUACCCCACCUGCCACCCGCUGAGCACACCUCCGCCUACGUCAGCAGGCGCCAGUCGCUCACACCCGGCGACUUGGAGUCAGGGACAGUGUGGCCGGGCUCUGAGGGCAGACGGCGGGGUGGCUCAAGGGAAUCUGAAGGAACAGAAUCCCAGCCUGAGCCAUGAAUCCCCGGGAGUGAAAUUCCUACACACCAGCAGCCAGAUGAUUACCUCCAGCCAGAGAAACAGCAGAGAGACCUUGUACACCAGGCAGGAGCAAGGCACCUACAGGAAAGAAAAGAACAAGAAAAAUUGCAUAGUAAGCAAUGACUUACCUGGACCCCUUCCCCUGAACUGCUUCCAGAAUAUCGGCAGCCAGCUGAAAGUCCCUUCAGGUAAAAGAUUGUAGAUAUUUCUCCUGAGAAACUGAAGAGCUCAAAAUAAAAGAAGGAUCUAUGGAAAGAAGAAACUCCA
rnacentral:lncRNA from 12 species